rnacentral:tRNA from 1 species
GGGGCUGUAGCUUAGUGGUAAAGCACUUGCUUAGCACGUGUGAGGCACUGGGUUCAAUCCUCAGCACCA